rnacentral:lncRNA from 1 species
CAUAUUAAUGUAGGUAAAUAGCUAAUGUUAUACAGAGUUCAGGAGGAAUUAGAUUAUUAGAUUUCCUCCCUUGUGGAUUGUCUUAAUCUGCUGAGGCUGCUAUAACAAAUACCAUGGAAUGGGUAUCUUAAAUAAUAGAAACUGAUUUCUCACAAUUCUGGAAGGCCGCAAUCAGGGUGCCAACAUGGCUGGGUUGUGGGUUGUGCCCUUUUAUUGGUUUGUAAACAGUAUCUUCUUUUUGGAUCUUCACAUGAUGGGGGGGCAGGAAGCAAACUCUUUGUGUCUCUUGGGGUUUUUUUUGUUUGUGUUUGUUUUUGUUUUUUGUUUCAUUUUUUUUUUGUUUUUUGGGUUUUUCUGUUUUUGAGGGCCGCAGGUGUGGCAUAUGGAAGUUCCCAGGCUAGGGAUCUGAGCCGUGUCUGCAACCUACACCACAGCUCACCACAACUGAGCAAGGCCAGUGAUUGAACCCACAUCUUCAUGGAUACUAGUUGGGUUCCUUACUGCUGAGCCACAGCAGGAACUCUCUUGUAAAAAAGGUGUUAAUCCCAUCAUGAGGGCUCUACCCCCAUGAGCUAAUUACUUCCCAAAGGUUCCAUCUCCAAAUAUCAUUACAUCCGCAUUAAGACUUCAACAAAGGAAUUUAGUGGGGAGACACAAAUAUUCAAUUCUUAUUUUUCACACCUAAUCAAAGAAGUACAAAUUAUGCAAUCAAAACUUAAAACUGAGUAGUUUAUAUUGUCCAUAGAAUUUUAAGAGUUUAAAUCAGAAUGGAGCUUGCAUUUACAAAACAGGUAACAAAGCCCUUUGUUACCAUCAUUUCAAAAUGUAGAUAAGAAUUGUAUUUCUUAUUGGCUGCUUUUAACUUUGUUGAAGGUACAUUAAAUUAUGUUAAUGCGUCAGUGGGGAUAUAUUUUGCCUUCACUUUACUACCCAUUGAACAAUUGCUUUAUUUUUACAGAAUUACAGAUAGGAAUGGAAAAUAGGCACCCCAUAAACUAGAGAAGUACUUGAGAGUAACCCCUUGGAAUAACCAAGGAAAGAAGAGCUAGAAAGAGUGGAGGUAUUAAAUUAUAGGAUAUUUUCAGAGAAAUACAAUGUUUGAAAAAACUGCAAGUGCCUGAGACAAUUCAAACUAAUCGAUGAACUACCAUAAUAGUGGUUCUUAUGAGAUUUGGUUUAAUGUCUAGAAGAAAAUUAUCUAAAAUUAGCAUAUCAGUUAUUUGCAGGUAAACAGAUGUUUUAUUUCUGCAGCUUGAGGGUGUUCAAAAACAAUUUGUUUACUGAAAUAACUUAUAAAUCUUCCUCCAGCAAUCUUAUUUUAUUUUAUGAAUUAACCUGGAUAUAUUAAUGCAAAGUUUGCAGAGUUCCUGUUGUGGCUCAGUGAGUUAAGAACCUGAUAUACCUUCUGUGAGAAUGUGGGUUCGAUCCCUGGCCUCGCUUGGUGGGUUAAGGAUCCAGCACUGCUAUGGCUAUGGCAUGGGCUGGCAGCUGCAGCUUUGAUCCGACCCCUAUGCUCCAGGUGUGGGCUUAGAAAAAUUAAUUAACUAACUAAUUAAAGCAAAGUUUGCCACACACUCCCCUCCUGGGUGCCGCACCUUCCAUUUAGCUAAGCCACAAAUCUGUACAUUUGUGGUAUUAACUGCUAGCCUUCUCCCUCAUCUUUGUUAUCUGAAAGACAAGAUUAUGCUUUUUCAUUUAAUAAGUGCUGCUUCUAUCAAAAUAAGUUUUGUCAUUAAAAUACUUAAAUAUUACUAUCAAAAUAUUUAAUCAUAAACAAGAUUUGAAAAGACUGUCUAAAUAGAAUAUGAUAUUUUCCCGACUAUAUUUUACAUCUUAUGAAUAGUUAUUUGAUCCAAUCUUAGCAUUGCCGGGAAUAGAGUUGUUCAGAAGCAGGGUGGACUCCUAACAGGGACAACAUCUCAAAACUUGUCCUUGACACUCGGCCAGGCACAUUUACCACCAGCAAUCCCUAAGACAGAACAAGGAAGAAGAAUCAUCACUACAGACAGUACGUUUGGUUAAGAGGAUAUGUUAAACAGAAAAAUGAUUUCUGUCUUCAAAAGAGUUAAAAAGGAGUUUCUUCUCAAAAUAGUUAUUAACAGUCUUAAACCUCAUUAAAUGUUUUCAAAUGAUUACAAAUUCUCAAUUUAAAACUGGGCAAGCCUUAAAGGUUUUUAUGGCUGUUUAGAAAAGGCAAUGAUCAGCUCAGUGUGUCUUCAUGUAGCUAAGUGACUCCUCAUAAUUAUUCAAAAGGAUGACCUGGUUCAGAACUUGGGCUCUGGAGCCAGAGCAUCUGAGUUCAAAUCUUGACCUCACUACUUCCUAGCUGUGUGACGUUGCCAUUAGGUCAGUGAGCCAUUUACCUUGUGCCUCAGAUUCCUCACCUAAUAAAUGGAGAUGAUUACAGUUACACCUACCUCACAGAGUUAUGAAGAUUCAAUGUAUUAAUACAUAUAAAGCAAUUGGAAUGAUGCUUAGCACAAAAUUACCUACCCAGUUUCAUCAGUUAAUUUUUCCAUAUAGAAGCUAACUUAUAAAUUCCCCCAACUUUGUGUCCUAGUUUAGAUUCUCAUAUAAUCCAUUAUGUCGACAUGUAAUGUUGUUAAAGCUUCCUACCAUUGAAAAAAUGUGUAUAUAACAUCUGGACAUCAAAAAAAUGAGGUGAUUUUGUUAAAAGUUUGGUACUGUAAAGAAUUGUGACCUACUUUCUUUUGGUUUGUGAAGAGCCCAGCCUUUCGUACCUGAAGUUUUUUAGAACAUAAGAAACAUCACACUGAGUUGCACAUUCUCUCUCUGAUAGUGGUACCUAGAAGGCAGCCCCAGGGAUAACCUAGCUUCCCUCCAUAUGACCAAACUAAAGCCUUCAGGAAGGUACACCAAUGAUGUUGUAUUCCUUCCCUUGGACCCAUCAGGCAUCUCUCAUUCAUUUACGCCAAUCUUUAAAUCACAUGCCAUUUUUAAUCUAUCCCAAUCUAGAUGGGUGAGAAGCUAAAUACAUGUCUAUUUCUUUUUAUAUCUAACCUGAAAAUUACACUUUUAAUCUUCACUAAGCACCUUUUUGUUCUAAUUCCAUAGAUAAGGAAAUAAAGUAUAAAGCCAUGGCGGAUAUUUUGACUUAAUUCCUAGAGAACUUUAUUAAUCUGAUAAAGCCUGUAGGGGUGUUUUUGUUUUUUUUUUUUUUUCUGAAAAUCCAGUUAUGCUCAUGAUUUUCCUUAUUCAGAUCAGUGAAUUCUUCACCUGACCAAUGAAAAUGCUAAGACAUUUGCAGUUCAUUAUAAGAGAAGAAAUGGAUAUUUCCUGAGCAUAGUUUCUUAUUUUAUUUGCUACAAAUUGUCUAUUUGUACAUCAAUAUACUCUGAUUAGUUUGUUUAUGCCCUUGAGAUGUUACAUAAUUAAGUAUAUAAAAUGACUUAUUUUUACUUCCUUAAGGUAUAUGAUAACUAGAUUCAUAAAUUUAAAUUUUAAAGACUCAGUUUCAUUUAACAUGGAUUCCAGUAUUCCUGUAAGUAAAUAAUAAAUAGUAUUUAAUACCUAUAGCUAUACUUUAUAUCUGCAAUGGAGGAAAGCUGGUUAACACCUUUCCAUUAAUUUUAAAGAUGUGUUUUUUUAAAGAUGUGGUUUUUUAUAUUCACAAUAUAAAACAAGCAGCCCAUCCACCACUUUUUUCCUUUACAUGCAUAAAUCAAAUAAAUAGAGCUUUAAUACAUAUUAUUUAAGCAGAGCAUUAUUAGGCCAUACAUUUUUUUUUCAAAAUCUUGUCUUGAAGAUAGUAUGACAAAAGUUAUAACUCUACAAUUAUACCUGAGGAAUUCACCAAGGAGAAAUGGAAAUAUAUGUCCACACAAAGACUUGCAUGUGAAUAUUCAUGGCAGUGUUGUUUUUUAUUAAACAGAAAGUAGAAACAAUCCAAUGUCCAUCAACUGGUUGAAUGGUGAAAAAAAAUAUGAUCUAUCCAAGCAACAGCACACCAUUCAGCAAUAAAAAGACCUGCUAUGUAGCACAGGGAACUCCAUUCAAUACUGUGCAAAGAAUCUGAAAAAGAUAUGUACAUGUAUAACUGAAUCACUUUGCUGUACACCUGAAACUAACACAACCUUGUAAAACAGCUGUACACUAAUAAAUUUUUUUAAAAUAGUAAUGAAGUGAUGAUACACGCUACAACAUAGAUAAGCCUGAAAAAUACUAUGCUAAAUGAAAAAGAGCCAUAUGCAAAAACCAUGUAUCACAUGAUUCCAUUUAUAAGAAAUGCCCAGAAAAGGGAGAUCUGUGAGAUAGAAAGUAGAUUAGUGAGUGGUUGUCUGGGCCAGGAGGUAAGAAUGAUAAGGGGUGACUGCAGAUGGGCCCAAGGGAUCUUUACGGGGUGCUGGAAAUAAUCUGGAAGGAGAUUGUAGUGAUGGUUGUUCAAGUCUGUACAUUUACUAAAAAAUGAUUAAAUGAUACAUUUAAAACAAGUAAAUGUGUGGUAUAUAAAUUACACCUCAAUAAAGCUGUUUAAAAAAAGAUAACAUGGAACAUCUGAAAAUGUCAAAGGGUCUGGCUGACUUUGUUUCCAUUAGCACAUGUACAGAUAGGCCUCAAAACUGCCCCCCCAAGGGCAGUAUACAGGUGAUUUUCAGUCACAUACUUGACCGAGCAGGAAAAAACACACAUGGAUUUCAAGUUUACAAUGUCCCAGUCCUAUUCUCUUCCCAGAUGUUGUGAUAAGAGUCAGUUGCCAAUAAGGAUAAAUAUAUUUUAUAUAGUUAGCUUAGAAAUGUGGUUUUUUAAGUAUGCCUAUAUCCUUGUAUAUUCAUAAACAAUUUUUGGAAGUUAUCUAGGAAACAUCAUAGUGGGUACAACUGGGAAAUGUAAGAGGAUUAAAUAGGGGGAAAAGGUUGUGGAUUCAUUCUUGUUAUUUGGUAGCUUUUUUUUUACUGUUUAAAUGCUUUAUUUGUUCAUGUACUACUUUGGUAAUUUAAAAAUGUUUAUAAAAAAGAAAUUUGUGGUUUUUUAUAAAAUGCUUAGUAUUAGUAAAAUUAUAAAUGAUGAAAUAGAUACUAUAGUAAUGAUGCCUAUAUAUGUAUACUUUCAGUAUUUUGUUAUUCAUGUCUUUUUAUACUUCCUGAGGAAAAAUGUUUUCAUUAAAAAAUUUCCUACAACAAUUGAGCAAGUGCAGCAACAUCAGGUAUGAUUUAAAUCUGCAUACCACUGCAUUAAACAGAGAUGACUUUAGCGUGAUAUUUUGCAGUUAAUUAUUAAACUAUAUUGCUUCUUAGUGUCCUUUUUUCAUUUUUUAUUUUUUUGGCCGCACCUGUGGCAUAAGCAAGUUCCUGGAGCUAGGAGUUGAAUCAGAGCUGCAACUGUCAGCCUAUAUACCACAGCCACAACAACGCCAUAUCUGAGCUGCAUCUGCGACCUACGCCACAGCUUGUAGCAAAGCUGGAUCCUUAACCCAUUGAGUGAAGCCAGGGAUCAAACCCAUGUCUUCACGGACAUGAUGGUGGGUUCUUAAACCACUAAGCCACAAUGGGGAAACUCCCUUCAUGUCCUUUUUUAAAGUCAAAAGUAUUAAAUACCAUGGGAUAAAUUUUACCUAAGUUUGGUUUUAAAACUUAUUUGCCAGUCUUAAAUAACAACAGUGUCACAUGCACCACUGUAACUGCUCUAGAUGUAUCAACUCAUUUAAUCCUCACAAUAACUAGAAAAGGGACAUGCUAUUUAAUUGUCAUUUUCCUGAUGAGGUUACUAUAUAUGGAGAGAUUAAGGAACUUGCUCCAUUUCACACAGCUGAUAAGUGGUAGAGCUUGGAUUCAAACCCAGGCAUAGAUUUCAAGGCCCACGCUCUUAUCCAUGACACAGCUGUCUCUUAAUGGAGGUAUGUAAGGAUAAACUAAUAUUGGACUUACAUUAGGAAGAUGAAAAGUGCUCUAAUUAUUCAAACAGUUUUAUUAUCUAUUCAGUUUUUAAGAAUGGGGGGACCAGGGAAGAACUGCAGUAAUUUACUUAAAUAAGCCAGAAAAACAACAUAAAGUAUUAUGCACUUAAGUUGCAGGCAUUGAAAAAAAGGUCGCUUAACAUUGAGAAUCAUUGAGAAUCAUAAAUGGCAGCCCUAGAGGAGAAUUUUUUAAGGAAAAAUAAUAACUAAGAUGAGUUUGCUCUUGAAAAGAGGAGAGAGUCCUACCACACAAAAGAAAGAAAUUAUCUCAUUAAGAAUUUUUAAUACCAGGACUUAAUUUAAGGAGGCUCAAAGAAACAGACAACUGAAGCAUUACAUUUAAAAAUGGCUAUUUUAAAUUAUAUCUCCUAAAAUGGGGUUAUAUUAUUUAAAUGUAACUAAGAAUAAAAUAAAAUUUUUCUU